UUCCUACGGGCGGCAGCAGUGGGGAAUAUUGCACAAUGGGCGAAAGCCUGAUGCAGCAACGCCGCGUGAGCGAUGAAGGCCUUUGGGUCGUAAAGCUCUGUCCUAGGGGACGAAACAAAUGACGGUACCCUUGGAGGAAGCCCCGGCUAACUACGUGCCAGCAGCCGCGGUAAUACGUAGGGGGCGAGCGUUAUCCGGAAUUAUUGGGCGUAAAGAGUACGUAGGUGGUCUUUUAAGCGCAGGGUUUAAGGCAAUGGCUUAACUAUUGUUCGCCCUGUGAACUGGAAGACUUGAGUGCAGGAGAGGAAAGCGGAAUUCCUAGUGUAGCGGUGAAAUGCGUAGAUAUUAGGAGGAACACCAGUGGCGAAGGCGGCUUUCUGGACUGUAACUGACACUGAGGUACGAAAGCGUGGGGAGCAAACAGGAUUAGAUACCCCGGUAGUCGUU
rnacentral:rRNA from 1 species